rnacentral:misc_RNA from 1 species
GAUGAAGAACGCAGCGAAAUGCGAUAAGUAGUGUGAAUUGCAGAAUUUAGUGAAUCAUCGAAUCUUUGAACGCACAUUGCGCCCCUUGGUAUUCCAUGGGGCAUGCCUGUUCGAGCGUCAUUUGUACCUUCAAGCUUUGCUUGGUGUUGGGUGUUUGUCCCGAGGGACUCGCCUUAAAGUAAUUGGCAGCCAGUGUUUGGUUUUGAAGCGCAGCACAAGUCGCGAUUCAAGGCUACACGCCCGCUUCCACAAGCCUUUUUUCACUUUUGACCUCGGAUCAGGUAGGGAUACCCGCUGAACUUAAGCAUAUCAAUAAGCGGAGGA